AAAGACGAGGAAAUGAAUUGAAAAUCAGAAAAGAGGAGGAAGAAACAAAAAAAAAAAAAAAAAAAAUUGGAGAGAGAAAAUGGGGAAGGAUCUGAGCGACGAGCAGGUAUCAUCGAUGAAGGAGGCGUUCAAUUUGUUCGACACCGACGGCGACGGCAGGAUCGCGGCGUCGGAGCUCGGAAUCCUGAUGCGGUCCCUCGGCGGAAACCCUACGCAGGCGCAGCUGAAGUCGAUAAUCGCGGAGGAGAAGCUGAAUUCCCCCUUCGAUUUCCCGAGAUUCGCGGACCUAAUGUCGAAGCACCUUAAACCGGAGCCGUUCGACCGGCAGCUCCGCGACGCGUUCAAGGUGCUCGACAAAGACGGAACCGGAUACGUCGUCGUUUCGGAACUCCGGCACAUCCUCACCAGCAUCGGCGAGAAGCUUGAUCCCGCCGAGUUUGACGAGUGGAUCCGCGAGGUCGAUGAUGUCGGAUCCGAUGGCAAGAUCCGGUACGAGGAUUUCAUCGCACGCAUGGUGGCCAAGUGAGAGAAAGGUGAUCCAAAAUGUACCAGAAUUAUGACUUGUGUUCUUAUUCCAACUUUUUUCUUAUUAGUCUUGAUCCACAUUAUUUUGGGAGAAUUUCAAACCAUCAAGCGAGGUUGAAAAUGAGAUGUAGGCAACCCACACUGAAGAUCCAGCCCAUUAUUACCUCGCUAACCCUUUUCUAUCCAUCUAUAAGAAGAUGAGAUGAGAUGAGAUGAGAUGGCUUCUUGUGAGGAGAAAGUAGCAGCAGAGGAACCUGAAAAUUGCAUGAGAUGUCUUGUUCUCGAUCCGACGUCGUCUCCCUCAAACGCCCGAAAUUAGAAGCUCAGACCAAGGAACCAGAGGAUGAGGAGAAACCGGCCGCAGUUUCGAAACAACAAUCAAUGGCAGUUUUGCUGAAGCAGACCAAGAAGAAAAAGAAGAAGAAGAAGCCAUUUUUGAGACUCGAGGAUUAUAUUGAUAAGGAUCGUAUGGCCGAGUUGCGUAAGGAUCAGGAUCAGGAUAUUGAUAUUGUAACAUACACUGAAACAAUGAAUGGGAAUGAUCCUCACUUUAUGGAUGAUGGUGUCGCGUAUAGAUAUGACCGAGUUUCUGACAACUCUCAUCCCCCCAGAGAGAAACUUGUCUCUUAUGCCCACCUAGCAGUUGAUACCUACAACAAAAAACAUGUGUGUUAUUGUGUUACCUCUUUUAUAUAUCCCCUUUCAUCAAAUUAAAAGUUUAAAUUAUAUUAUUUAUUAAUGGUUAAUCGUUUAUUGUAUUUUGUGUACGGUAGUCCAUGGUUUACCGUUUGGAGUAUGUGGUGAGGGCAACUGUAUUUCAUGUCCAGGGUUUGUUAUACUGUAUGACCAUCAAAGUCAAGCAAGAAGAUGAUUCCGACGCCAUUACUUUACGUGCAGAAGUUUACGAAGGAUUAUUUGAUGAACUUGAAGUAGAGUUCUUUCCCCCCAAGGAUCAUUAGGUGUUUCAAUUUUCUAUUUAUUUAUUUAUUUAUUUUCUUAAACUGCUGCUGCUAUAUGUCUGAGAUCUUAUUGCGCUGAUUCUAUACAUAUAUAUUAUACAUGGAUGUAUUUUUUAUGACUUGUGGCUCGUUGAGAAUCUAGAUGCAGCUUUUCUAA